rnacentral:rRNA from 1 species
CCUACGGGGGGCAGCAGUGGGGAAUAUUGGGCAAUGGAGGCAACUCUGACCCAGCAACGCCGCGUGAAUGAUGAAGGUCUUCGGAUUGUAAAGUUCUUUUCGAAGGGAAGAAGAAAGUGACGGUACCUUAGUAAUAAGCCUCGGCUAACUACGUGCCAGCAGCCGCGGUAAUACGUAGGAGGCAAGCGUUAUCCGGAAUGACUGGGCGUAAAGGGUGCGUAGGUGGUUUGACAAGUUAGUAGCGCAACUCCGGGGCUCAACUUCGGAACUACUACUAAAACUGUUGGACUUGAGUGCAGGAGGGGCAAUCGGAAUUCCUAGUGUAGCGGUGGAAUGCGUAGAUAUCACGAAGAACCCCGAUUGCGAAGGCAGCUUACUAAACUGUGACUGACAUUGAUGCUCGAAAGUGUGGGUAUCAAACAGGAUUAGAUACCCCUGUAGUC